UGAGAUUGCUGAACAAGCAUAGAGGAGGGAUGAAGUUUCUAGGCUGAGGGAGUUGCACACUUUGAAAGGCCACGUUGAGUCUAUUGUGAAACUUAAAGGAUUAGAUAUCGACACAAUUCAGCAACAUUACACCGUGUAGAUCAGAAGGCUGCAAAGAGUGGAGAGAGGAUCAUGCGCGCAGUUUGUUGCUAGACUUCACUGACACAGAAGAUGACUAGGUAGAAGUACGCCGUCCUUACAAGUCAAGGACACUUUUGAAUUUCCUAAGCAUUAUAUGAGUCUGUUGAUAAUGAAUCUUUCUCAUUGGGCAACACAUAAGCUGCAGUUACAUGGAGGAUUGUGCAAGAUUUUAUCCAAGAUAUUCUGUAAAGUGUUGAAUAUCUUUCCUGCUCUAGAAGCAGCACCCCCACGUAGUAGGUCAAGAAUCCAGGCAUUGUGUUCUCUGCAUGUGGCACUUGAGAAGGCCAUAAAUCUUUUACAACAUUGCUCAGAGUGUAGCAAACUAUACCUGUGUAAGCUGGACUCCUUCAUUCCUUUUGAAACGAUAUGUCUUGAAGGGUAUUCGUGAUGGCCCCCAUGAGCCAUUUAUCACAGAUUCUGUUGACUUUGUUGUAUCCCAGGAGUAGCAGCCAAGAAGACGGAACAAGAAUGGGAAAAGUGGAGGGUUGUCCCUCCUAAAUUAGAGCGAGGCGUAAGCCAAAUUCUUUCAUUUCUAUCUGAAUUAUGUGAUGGAUAAUUCUAAUGGCCAAGUUAAGUGAAGUUACUUUAAAGGAAACAAAUGCUAAAAAGAGAGAGGCAUCUGCUAAACAAACCUCAAGUGGAUCAUCAUUUUCAAGCAUUGAGCAUUUCCCGCUUAAAGAAGAGAAACACUCUAGGCUUGAAACUUGCGCUCGGUAGCUGUUCAACAACGAAGAUUGCAGGAUCAUGUUCUUCUGCUUGUUAUUUUGCUUUGCGGCCUAAUGUUCCUUGUUAAUGAAUAUAAACUAAUUUCUUUUGCUGCUAGGCAUUAUUUAAUGCUUGUAAUAGAUAUAGCAAAUUAG